rnacentral:misc_RNA from 1 species
GACAGAGGGUGCAAGCGUUGUUCGGAAUCAUUGGGCGUAAAGCGCACGUAGGCGGUUCUGCAAGUCGGAUGUGAAAGCCCAGGGCUCAACCUUGGAAGUGCAUCCGAAACUGCCGAACUAGAGUCCCGGAGAGGGUGGUGGAAUUCAUGGUGUAGAGGUGAAAUUCGUAGAUAUCAUGAGGAACACCGGUGGCGAAGGCGGCCACCUGGACGGAGACUGACGCUGAGGUGCGAAAGCGUGGGUAGCAAACAGG